rnacentral:rRNA from 1 species
GAUGAACGCUAGCUACAGGCUUAACACAUGCAAGUCGAGGGGAAACGAUAGAGAAAGCUUGCUUUUUCUAGGCGUCGACCGGCGCACGGGUGAGUAACGCGUAUCCAACCUGCCCAUCACUUGGGGAUAACCUUGCGAAAGUAAGACUAAUACCCAAUGACGUCCCUAGAAGACAUCUGAAAGGGAUUAAAGAUUUAUCGGUGAUGGAUGGGGAUGCGUCUGAUUAGCUUGUUGGCGGGGUAACGGUCCACCAAGGCGAAGAUCAGUAGGGGUUCUGAAGGGAAGGUCCCCCCCAUUGGAACUGGGACACGGUCCAAACUCCUACGGGAGGCAGCAGUGAGGAAUAUUGGUCAAUGGACGAGAGUCUGAACCAGCCAAGUAGCGUGCAGGAAGACGGCCCUAUGGGUUGUAAACUGCUUUUAUAAGGGAAUAAAGUGAGAGUCGUGACUCUUUUUGCAUGUACCUCAUGAAUAAGGACCGGCUAAUUCCGUGCCAGCAGCCGCCGUAA